GGUCUAGUCCUGGGGUCACGGAGGCCUAUCUGGAACAGUGGUGUUGGAGCUGAGACUUUAAGGAAUAGGGACGGGUGAGGAGCCUGCAGCCCAGGACUUCAGGACAAAAAGCUGAUAAAUCAUAGAUGGAGAUCAUGACCGAUGCUUUGAGAGAGCCUUGACACCUGGUACAAAACCCAUUCUCUACCCGUGGUCUAAAUCAGCUGGGACAUGUAGAAGCAUUGGCUUAAGCUUUCUCAUAAUAACGUAGGGAAAAGGAAGAAUUUGAGAGUUUCUCAGAAGAUUAGGCAAUUCUUUGAAGAAUCUGAGAACAUAGA
rnacentral:lncRNA from 1 species